rnacentral:rRNA from 1 species
UACAGAGGUCUCAAGCGUUGUUCGGAAUUACUGGGCGUAAAGGGCUGGUAGGCGGCCAACUAAGUCGGAUGUGAAAUCCCCAGGCUUAACCUGGGAACUGCAUCCGAUACUGGUCGGCUUGAAUCCGGGAGAGGGAUGCAGAAUUCCAGGUGUAGCGGUGAAAUGCGUAGAUAUCUGGAGGAAUACCGGUGGCGAAGGCGGCAUCCUGGACCGGGAUUGACGCUGAACAGCGAAAGCUAGGGGAGCAAACGGG